rnacentral:rRNA from 1 species
UACGGGGGGGGCAAGCGUUGUUCGGAAUUACUGGGCGUAAAGCGUGCGCAGGCGGUUUUGUAAGCCAGAUGUGAAAUCCCCGGGCUUAACCUGGGAAUGGCAUUUGGGACUGCAAGGCUCGAGUGCGGCAGAGGAGACUGGAAUUCCUGGUGUAGCAGUGAAAUGCGUAGAUAUCGUAAGGAAGGCCGGUGGCGAAAGCGAGCCUCUGGACAGUUACUGACGCUGAUGCACGAAGGCCAGGGGAGCAAACGGG